rnacentral:rRNA from 1 species
ACGGAAGGCAGCAGUGAGGAAUAUUGGUCAAUGGGCGGAAGCCUGAACCAGCCAAGUCGCGUGAAGGAUGAAGGUAUUAUGUAUUGUAAACUUCUUUAGACGCAGAGAAAUAAGGAGGUCGUGACCUCUGAUGCUAGUAUGCGUAGAAUAAGGAUCGGCUAACUCCGUGCCAGCAGCCGCGGUAAUACGGAGGAUCCGAGCGUUAUCCGGAUUUAUUGGGUUUAAAGGGUGCGCAGGCGGCUUUUUAAGUCAGUGGUUAAAUCGUGAGGCUCAACCUCAUUCUGCCAUUGAUACUGGAGAGCUUGAUUGCGGUUGAGGUAGGCGGAAUUCGUCGUGUAGCGGUGAAAUGCAUAGAUAUGACGAAGAACACCGAUUGCGUAGGCAGCUUACCAAGCCGUAAAUGACGCUCAUGCACGAAAGUGCGGGGAUCGAACAGGAUUAGAUACCCUGGUA